GUCGUGAGAUGUUGGGUUAAGUCCCGCAACGAGCGCAACCCUUAUCCUGUGUUGCCAGCAUUUAGUUGGGGACUCGCAGGAGACUGCCGGGGUCAACUCGGAGGAAGGUGGGGAUGACGUCAAGUCAUCAUGCCCCUUAUGCCCAGGGCUGCAAACACGCUACAAUGGCCGGUACAGAGGGCUGCAAUCCCGCGAGGGUGAGCGAAUCCCACAAAGCCGGUCUCAGUUCGGAUUGGAGUCUGCAACUCGACUCCAUGAAGCCGGAGUUGCUAGUAAUCCCGGAUCAGCACGCCGGGGUGAAUACGUUCCCGGGCCUUGUACACACCGCCCGUCACACCACGAAAGUCGGUAACACCCGAAGCCGGUGGCCCAACCUGUAAAGGAGGGAGCCGUCGAAGGUGGGAUCGGUGAUUGGGGUGAAGUCGUAACAAGGUAGCCGUACCGGAAGGUGCGGCUGGAUCACCUCCUUUCUAAGGAGUGCUUCUCGACUGCCGAAUCGUCAUUCGUACGAUCCAGUUGAGACACACCUGUUGGUGCACUGGUGGACUGUCAGCCAUCCGACCUCGAGGUCGUUAGGGAUUCGGUCCCUCUCUUGAGUGACGAUCGCCGGCAGUUACCGUCUUCUCUUCCGUUUUGAGGGAGUGGAAACACGCUCUCACGACGCCGCUGCGUCGAGCUCCUCGCGGAGUUCCGCAUGCGUCACCGUCGCCCCUUGAGAACUACAGAGCAAGCACGAGCAUCUUGUUCUUUCAAAUUUCAAAGUUUGAACGAUCGAAAAAUAUAAGAAUUCCAAGCUAUAAAGAGCCAACGGUGGAUGCCUUGGCGCCAAGAACCGAUGAAGGACGUGAGUGACUGCGAAAAGCUCCGGGGAGCCGUCUACUAGGCGUUAUUAUCCGGAGAUGU
rnacentral:sRNA from 1 species